CCUACGUGGGGCAGCAGUGGGGAAUAUUGGACAAUGGGCGAAAGCCUGAUCCAGCCAUGCCGCGUGUGUGAAGAAGGCCUUCGGGUUGUAAAGCACUUUCAGUGGGGAAGAAAGCCUUGGGGCUAAUACCCUCGAGGAAGGACAUCACCCACAGAAGAAGCACCGGCUAACUCCGUGCCAGCAGCCGCGGUAAUACGGAGGGUGCGAGCGUUAAUCGGAAUUACUGGGCGUAAAGCGCGCGUAGGCGGUCUGAUAAGCCGGUUGUGAAAGCCCCGGGCUCAACCUGGGAACGGCAUCCGGAACUGUCAGGCUAGAGUGCAGGAGAGGAAGGUAGAAUUCCCGGGGUAGCGGUGAAAUGCGUAGAGAUCGGGAGGAAUACCAGUGGCGAAGGCGGCCUUCUGGACUGACACUGACGCUGAGGUGCGAAAGCGUGGGUAGCAAACAGGAUUAGAUACCCCUGUAGUC
rnacentral:rRNA from 1 species